rnacentral:lncRNA from 1 species
UGGUUCUUCCAUCUUCCGCCUUCGCCGCCCCACUCCCCCAUUUUCAGAUGCUAACUCGGCAGCUUCUCUACCCUCCUCGUCAACCACGACACCUGCACCAAUAAGCCUUCGCUCUCUUUGCUAGGACAAAGAGAAUAAGAAAACAGAUACUUGUGCUCUUUCCUUUUCUUCUUUCGUUUGAAACCCAUCCCCAUGCUUUUCCUUACUGACUAGAUAUUCAGGUUGAGUGUGCCGAGGAGUAGAGUAGGCAAAGGUUGCUGCCAUUGUCUCACUGGAGUCCAACCACUACAGCGGAAAUCAUCACUGUAAAGUUUCCUGCACUCUUAUACCUUUUUUC